AACAUAAGUAUAAGGAGGUAAAAUGGCUGAGUAAGCAUUAGACUGUAAAUCUAAAGACAGAGGUUGAACCCUCUUUUUACC
rnacentral:tRNA from 1 species